GGCCACGUAGCUCAGUGGAAAGAGUAUCUGUCUCCGGAGCAGAGGGUCCUGGGUUCGACCCCCAGCUUGGUCG